rnacentral:rRNA from 1 species
UACAGAGGUCCCAAGCGUUACUGAGAAUCACUGGGUUUAAAGGGUGCGUAGGUGGUCCGUUAAGUCGGUUGUGAAAUCCCCGGGCUCAACCCGGGAACUGCUUCCGAUACUGGCGGACUUGAGGCCGGUAGAGGUCACUGGAACAGACGGUGGAGCGGUGAAAUGCGUAGAUAUCGUCUGGAACGCCGGUGGUGAAGACGGGUGACUGGGCCGGUUCUGACACUGAGGCACGAAAGCGUGGGGAGCGAACGGG